rnacentral:rRNA from 1 species
CAACGCGCAGAACCUUACCAACCCUUGACAUGGAUAUCGUACGUUACCAGAGAUGGUUUCGUCAGUUCGGCUGGAUAUCACACAGGUGCUGCAUGGCUGUCGGUCAGCUCGUGUCGUGAGAUGUUCGGUUAAGUCCGGCAACGAGCGCAACCCACAUCCCUAGUUGCCAGCAGGUUAAGCUGGGCACUCUAUGGAAACUGCCCGUGAUAAGCGGGAGGAAGGUGUGGAUGACGUCAAGUCCUCAUGGCCCUUACGGGUUGGGCUACACACGUGCUACAAUGGUGGUGACAAUGGGUUAAUCCCAAAAAGCCAUCUCAGUUCGGAUUGGGGUCUGCAACUCGACCCCAUGAAGUCGGAAUCGCUAGUAAUCGCGUAACAGCAUGACGCGGUGAAUACGUUCCCGGGCCUU